rnacentral:tRNA from 1 species
GAUUGUAAAUCUUUAAAAAGCAAAAUUGCUAGUCAGGUAUAUUAAUAUUUGUUUGUUUUUAUUAACAAUACAGGUU